rnacentral:tRNA from 2 species
GCCGCUGUAGCUCAGUAGGGAGAGCGCCAGACUGAAGAUCUGGAGGUCGAGGGUUCAAUUCCCUCCGGCGGCA